UUAUAGUUUAUUUGAUAGUCCCUUACUACUUGGAUAACCGUAGUAAUUCUAGAGCUAAUACAUGCGUGAACUCCCGACUGCCUCGGCGGAAAGGAUGUAUUUAUUAGAUCGAUACCAGCCCGCUUGCGGUUCUUGGUGAAUCAUAAUAACUGAGCGAAUCGCAGCCUCGUGCAGCGAUGGUUCAUUCAAGUUUCUGCCCUAUCAGCUUUCGAUGGUAGGGUAUUGGCCUACCAUGGCGUUAACGGGUAACGGAGAAUUAGGGUUCGAUUCCGGAGAGGGAGCCUGAGAAACGGCUACCACAUCCAAGGAAGGCAGCAGGCGCGUAAAUUACCCAAUCGUAACUCACGGAGGUAGUGACGAAAAAUACUAAUACGGGGCUCUACGAGCUUUGUAAUUGGAAUGAGAACAAUUUAAAUCCCUUAACGAGGAUCAAUUGGAGGGCAAGUCUGGUGCCRGCAGCCGCGGUAAUUCCAGCUCCAAUAGCGUAUAUUAAAGUUGUUGCAGUUAAAAAGCUCGUAGUUGA
rnacentral:rRNA from 1 species